UGGCGGACGGGUGAGUAACGCGUGGGUAACCUGCCUUGUACAGGGGGAUAACAGUCAGAAAUGACUGCUAAUACCGCAUAAGCGCACAGGACCGCAUGGUCCAGUGUGAAAAACUCCGGUGGUAUAAGAUGGACCCGCGUUGGAUUAGCUAGUUGGUGGGGUAACGGCCUACCAAGGCGACGAUCCAUAGCCGGCCUGAGAGGGUGAACGGCCACAUUGGGACUGAGACACGGCCCAG
rnacentral:rRNA from 1 species